rnacentral:lncRNA from 1 species
GUGCCUCCCAUCCUUAGGGUCCCGCCGGUCAAGAUGGUCGCCCCGGACCCCCAGGCCCACCUGGUGCCCGUGGUCAGGCUGGUGUGAUGGGAUUCCCUGGACCUAAAGGUGCUGCUGGAGAGCCCGGCAAGGCUGGAGAGCGAGGUGUUCCCGGACCCCCUGGCGCUGUCGGUCCUGCUGGCAAAGAUGGAGAGGCUGGAGCUCAGGGACCCCCUGGCCCUGCUGGUCCCGCUGGCGAGAGAGGUGAACAAGGCCCUGCUGGCUCCCCCGGAUUCCAGGGUCUCCCUGGUCCUGCUGGUCCUCCAGGUGAAGCAGGCAAACCUGGUGAACAGGGUGUUCCUGGAGACCUUGGCGCCCCUGGCCCCUCUGGAGCAAGAGGCGAGAGAGGUUUCCCUGGCGAGCGUGGUGUGCAAGGUCCCCCUGGUCCUGCUGGUCCCCGAGGGGCCAACGGUGCUCCCGGCAACGAUGGUGCUAAGGGUGAUGCUGGUGCCCCUGGAGCUCCCGGUAGCCAGGGCGCCCCUGGCCUUCAGGGAAUGCCUGGUGAACGUGGUGCAGCUGGUCUUCCAGGGCCUAAGGGUGACAGAGGUGAUGCUGGUCCCA